AGAACCCGUGCCCCUCGUGGGAGCUGGGUCGCGGGGGUGCUGAGGCUCUGGGGCGCUGCAGCUUAGGCUAGGGUCCUCAGCAGGUGGAGGAGUUGCUGUGCCAUGGGGAAGAGGGCAGGAAGACAGUAGCCAACCAGGAGGUGGAAUAGCUAAUUUCUUUCUCUUACCCUUGGCGCUCUCCUUUCAUUUUCUCUUCACUAUUCAGACCUAGGAUAGCAAAUAGUGUGGACCGGCUUCUUAAUUGCUAUCAUUCCUGUCCUGUUUCCCAAAAUGGUUCCAACCACAUGAGACUUUACCCCUCUCAUCACCUUCCUUUUUCAUUCUGGCUUUCACUUUUACUGCUGAUGCAUACAUUUUGGACAUACACAUUAUGAUGAGGAAGGCCGGGUGGCUCAUGCCUGUAAUCCCAGCACCUUGGGAGGUCGAGGCGGGUGGAUCACCUGAGGUCGGGAGUUCGAGACCAGCUUGGCCAACAUGGUGAAACCGUCUCUACUAAAAUUAACAAAAAUUAGCCGGGUGUGUGGUGCACGCCUGUAAUCCCAGCUACUUGGGAGGCUGAGGCACGAGAAUCGCUUGAACUCGGGAGGCGGAGGUUGCAGUGAGCCGAGAGUGCGCCACUUCACUCCAGCCUGAGACUCCAUCUCAAAAAAAAAAAAAUUAUGAUGAGGGUCGAGCAUGGUGACUCAUGCUUGUAAUUACACCGCUUUGGGAGGCUGAGGCAGGAGGAUGGCUUGAGGCUAGGAGUUUGGAGGCUGCAGUGAGCUAUGAUCGCACCACUGCACUCCAGCCUGGGUGACAGAGAAAGACACUGGCUCUAAAAAUUAAAUUAAAAAAAAUUAUGAUCAGGUUCACACUUUUGGGGGAAUUUUCACCUUGGUCUCUUUCUCUGCUUUUCACCAGUCAGAAAGGAUUUCCCUGACCAGCACAGUUAAAGCAAUACCCUACCGUCAGCAUAUACUCGCACCAUUUUAUCUUCUUUACUGAAAUUGUCAUACUUGUUUCUGUGUUCAUUAUCCAUCUCUCCACCUUUUUGCUCAUUCAGCCUCGGUCCGUAUGUAAACUAUCUACUAUGCAUUUUAGGUUUUUUCAGGCUAGAAGGU
rnacentral:lncRNA from 10 species